rnacentral:rRNA from 1 species
CAGUCGCCGCGGUAAUACAGAGGGUGCGAGCGUUAAUCGGAUUUACUGGGCGUAAAGCGUGCGUAGGCGGCUAAUUGAGUCGGAUGUGAAAUCCCCGAGCUUAACUUGGGAAUUGCAUUCGAUACUGGUUAGCUAGAGUGUGGGAGAGGAUGGUAGAAUUCCAGGUGUAGCGGUGAAAUGCGUAGAGAUCUGGAGGAAUACCGAUGGCGAAGGCAGCCAUCUGGCCUAAUACUGACGCUGAGGUACGAAAGCAUGGGGAGCAAACAGGAUUAGAUACCCCUGUAGUCCCUGUCUCUUAUAA